GUGGGCUUGCCCACAAAUAUCAGCCUUGAUAUGUCCAGGUGGACGCUGCUUGCAUGGGUGCCGGACUGCGUUAGGUGCUUUCAUACCUGUAGACAUUAUGUGGCAUAGUACGCAAAACGCCGAAAGUGAGAUUAUAUAUCUAUCAUUCGGGGUAUGCCAUACAAGGCGUUUUUUAA
rnacentral:ncRNA from 12 species